AAGUCCUCAACUUCAGGAAAGCCAACUUUGACAAGAAAGGAAAGAUUCUCCCUAAAAGAUUCACACUAUUCCUCGAAAGUGAGGGGAGGUAAAAAAGACAUUUCUCACCCCCUUUACCAAUGAGAUUACAGAUACUUACACUUCCAGCAGUUUCUCUGCCUUGUAAUACACACACAGAGCAAAUAUGCCACACUGUUCACACUCUCUGUUUUGUAUUAACACCUUAACUGACUUUGCAAAGCCGCUUGCUUAUUAGGCUCCUUAGGCUCUACUUCUGUUACCCACAUUCACACAGUUUCUAACACAGGGGUUAAUUUUCUUUGCUACUGACUUCUUAUGGGACCAGCAAUAGAAGGCAUUUUACUUAACCAGCUCAGACACUCUCUGAGAUCAAGCUACAACUUUCUUUCAAGAUUGCUAUAUUUCUUCCUUCUCUAAAGCAAUUAUUCCUAAAAUUUCAUUCUCACUCUCUCCUCUGCUCUCCUCAGAGCCUCUGAACCCAUUCAGUCCUAUUCUCUCCUGAUUUAACCCUACCUGGACUCCAAGUAGUGCUAACUCUGCCUCACACCUUUCAGACUGAGUCUCUGGCUUUCAAUGCUCUCACAAAUUCUGGCUGGGCUCUCCUCUUUAGCACCCACUCUCAAUUCUUCUCUGUGCUCUGUGAGUCUGUUCUCAAACCCCCUUUAAAGAAUCUCUCUUAUUCUUCAACAGGUCUCUCAGUCUGGCAAUUCUUUGUCCACUCUGAUGGCAAUACUUUUUCCAGCAGAUCUUUCUCUAGCAGCUUUCUCUGGAAUCCCCACGCUUCCUCUAGGUCUUACCUAACUUCUAGCUUUUCUUUUCUCUUACAAAUCUUAACUAUAUCCUUUCUGGUUUAUAGGCUUCACAAUCCAUUCUCAUCAGUGGCCAUUCUUGCCUUGCACUUUGCAAACUAAUAAAUCCAGCAAAUUUUUGGUCUUUCUCUCACAGAUACACAAUCUGUACUGGCCUUGCCUUCUGCAAACCCAAAACAAUCUCUGACUCUCCUCACAGCUUGUCAGUUCUUACAGCAUACAAGAAAUCCAGCAAACUUCAUUCUAGGACUGAGAAAGCUCCCCCUGAAAGACUGUGUGAGACAGAUUACACACCACACACAAUCCCCUUGGAAAAGCUCUUUCUGCCUCCGAAAUGCCCCCCCC